rnacentral:lncRNA from 1 species
CCACACCCAUAUUCUUUAUUUUCUCCCUUUUUCUCUCUGACUCACCCCUCAUAUCACUAUCGUGGCCCCCACGAUGCCCAACGACCAUCUUGCGCCGGCUACCCUCUUGUUUCUUUUUCGUUUUUCUUCUUCUCUCUUUCUUUCACUCUCUCUCUCUCCCUCAUCCCCAUGAUGGCUGCCCAUCUCACCACCGCUACCGAUGACGCUACUAUAGUGACACCAUUGCUGGCGAUGCCACCGUCGACUGACAGUCUCCUCCACUGUCGGCGACUGCCCCCCACUCCGGCCGUAUCUUCCAUGUCUCUAUAUUUCUCUCUCUUUUUUUUCUCCACCCCGACACUCAUUCUUUCUACUUUCAUUGUAGAGGUAACCAUUUCUUUCUUCAUUUUGAUUUACACAGUACUUUGUUUGGAGAUUUUGGUUUUGUUUGUUUGGGCUUUGGAUUGUGUUUACGGGCUUUAAGGAUGUUGGGCUUACAUGAUUGUUGAUUUUGAUUGCAGAUUUGCAUGAUUUGGGCUUACAUGUUAUUAGAUAUUGUUAUUAGGCUUAUUUGAAUUUCUUUUAUUUUUGUUUUUCUUGAUGUUUGGAUGGGUGUUUUGGCACUGUGCCGAGAGUGGAGAAACAUGGAAGCAGUUGGGGCAAGUGAAGAAGGGCAUGGGUUGAACUCACCACCGUACCCUCCUAAUAGGUAACCUGACCAGAUUCGACUUUGGUUUUUCAUAGUUUUUUUCAGAUAAGGAGUCACAGAGUUUUCUUUAUUAUUUUGUUUUUCCUUAAAAAAUAAAAUAAAAAUAAAUGGCGAAUACAAGUUUUUUUUCUAAAAAAUCAAAUUUUCACAAAAAAAAAAAAAAAAAAACUAGUCACCCAUCAAGUGAAAAAUUCAGGGUCCACAUACAAUUAACGUUUAUUAUUAAAAAAACUAAUUAAUAUUUAUUUUUAUUAAUCUUAAUAAAUAAAUUUAUUAUUUAACAUUCAUAUUUAAAGUAUUAUAAAUUUAUAAGAUAACCUUUAAAUAUUUACUAUAAAAAAAAUGAAUCAUUGGUUUGAACUCAGGCUAUUAAAUAUAUUAUUAUUAGAUGUGGCUAAACAUGAUAAAAAAAAGAAUAAUAAAUGAACUAUUUUGACUUAAUACUUAAAAUGAUUUUUAGCUAUAGGUUACGAUGUUAAGUUAUUUUAUCAAACAUAUUUAAUCUACUCAAUAAUUUAAACAUAUUUAAUUUAUUUGAAAACUUAAAUUACUUUAGGUCAUUCGAUUGAUUUACCAAAAUCAUCUACAUUUAUUUAGAAAGUCACAAUAUAUAUAUAUAUAUAUAUAUAUAAAUAAAGAUAGCAAUGCCAUAA